AAUUGCAUAUGCUUAAAAAAAAAAAAAAAAAAAAAAAAAUUGACUGUAAGACAUGAAGAUCAAGGAUGUUUUCAUGAUGAUGGUCAUUUUCUCUUCUUACGUUAUGUGGUUUGUGUUCAAAAGUAUGGAUGAUGAGGAUUCGUUUGUAUUUUCGUAUACAUUCAUUGUAAUUUAUACUAUUGUUAUAGCUUAUUUCCUUUCUAUCUAUAUUGUAGUCCUCAUGUGAGGUGUUUACACAUCCUCGCCUUUUUAUAUAUGAUAAGGAUUACAAGAAGUCAGGAAUAAGUUUUGUUUUCGGGGUGAAAGUAAGUGUUGUGUAUAAAAUCUUAUGCUGUGAAAUGUUGUUCUGUUUAUUUGUAAUGGUAGUUAUUGUCUCCGAUUAUCAAAUUUUAGUUUGAAAUUUCGAGGACGAAAUUAUUUUAACGGGGGAAGGAUUGUAAUAUCCAACAUUUUCAUAAUACAUUUAUUUAUUAUAAAUCAAAGUUUUAAUACAUAAAAUGUACAACUUUACAAAUUUAAGAAAUAGUAAUGGAAAAAUAGUGUUUAAAAUAUGAUUUUAUGUUUUUAAUGAGAUUAAAGAAAGAGAAACUUGAGUAGUCAAGUAUUGGACCCAAAUGUCAAAUAAUUUUAAUUGGGGAUUUUUAUAAAAUUAAGAAAGUUUGGCUAAAGGGCUUAUUUGAAAAGAAUUUUAGUAUUUUGGGUCCAAGUGUAAUUUUUAAAAAUAAAUAAAUAAAAAAAAUAAAUAAAAUAAAAUAAAAGGCUUCAGCCUUUCAUUUUACCCGAGCCCCUCUCUCUCUCUCCUCAGAAACCCUCUCUCUCUCUCUCCUCAGAAACUCUCUCUCUCUCUCUCUCUCUCUCUCUCCUCUGCGUAUUACUGUUGCCGACGACGCAGGAGUACUUUCCGGCCACCAUUUUUAGCCACGCGCCGGACCGUUGGAUUCAGAGGCCUCCGAACUAUCGACCAACGCGGGAAUCUAGAGCUCACUCGCCGAUUAAACGCCUCAACCACUCGAUUUAAGUUCGGCCACCCCGCGACUUCAAAGUUGCGAUUCGGCCACCUCGGGCAUCCGUUUGCCGAUCCGUCACCACCAUCGUGCUCCUCGUGUUGUGGGCUUCAAAACCCAAUAACUUGUUCCUACAUCUACCAUAGUUGGGUGGUGGGCCCACCACGAGCCACCGCGAUCCACCGUAGAUCGACGGUCGAAACUUAGUGUUCGAGGUUCCGAAGUACGUUUUGAGUCUCAGAAAAUCAUCGUUUGACUUAUUGUGGAACCCGAUCAUUUUGGAUUUGUAUGGAUUUGAUUGAUUGACUCUUGGUGAGGAAUUUUAAAAUAAGCUAAGGACCUAAGGUGUGGCUUUAGCUGUUGAGCAACUUGUGGAGCACGGACUCAGUAGCAAUGCAAUAAUGGUUUUAGAGUUUUCAUAUGGCUGCCUUAAAUUUAAAGUAUUCAUACGUGUAAUAAUUUCUUCUAAUAAGUUUAUAUAAAAGUUUUAAAUUUUUCUGUA